rnacentral:rRNA from 1 species
UACAGAGGGUGCGAGCGUUGUCCGGAAUCACUGGGCGUAAAGAGCUCGUAGGUGGCGGGUCACGUCGGGUGUGAAAGCCCGGGGCUUAACCCCGGGUCUGCAUUCGAUACGGGCUUGCUAGGGUCCGGCAGGGGAGACUGGAAUUCCUGGUGUAGCGGUGAAAUGCGCAGAUAUCAGGAGGAACACCGGUGGCGAAGGCGGGUCUCUGGGCCGGUACCGACGCUGAGGAGCGAAAGCGUGGGGAGCGAACAGG